AACGCUAGCUACAGGCUUAACACAUGCAAGUCGAGGGGAAACGAUAUUGGAAGCUUGCUUCCGAUAGGCGUCGACCGGCGCACGGGUGAGUAACGCGUAUCCAACCUGCCCAUCACUUGGGAAUAACCUUGCGAAAGUAAGACUAAUGCCCAAUGACAUUUAUAGAAGGCAUCUGAAAUGAAUUAAAGAUUUAUCGGUGAUGGAUGGGGAUGCGUCUGAUUAGCUUGUUGGCGGGGUAACGGCCCACCAAGGCGACGAUCAGUAGGGGUUCUGAGAGGAAGGUCCCCCACAUUGGAACUGAGACACGGUCCAAACUCCUACGGGAGGCAGCAGUGAGGAAUAUUGGUCAAUGGGCGAGAGCCUGAACCAGCCAAGUAGCGUGCAGGAAGACGGCCCUAUGGGUUGUAAACUGCUUUUAUAGGGGAAUAAAGUGAGCCACGUGUGGUUUUUUGCAUGUACCCUAUGAAUAAGGACCGGCUAAUUCCGUGCCAGCAGCCGCGGUAAUACGGAAGGUCCGGGCGUUAUCCGGAUUUAUUGGGUUUAAAGGGAGCGUAGGCCGUCGUUUAAGCGUGUUGUGAAAUGCCGCGGCUCAACCGUGGCACUGCAGCGCGAACUGGAUGACUUGAGUUCGCGGGAGGUAGGCGGAAUUCGUGGUGUAGCGGUGAAAUGCUUAGAUAUCACGAAGAACUCCGAUUG
rnacentral:rRNA from 1 species